rnacentral:rRNA from 1 species
GUUACCCAAAAAAUGAAUUUCAGUUCAGUUUUAAAUUUACUAGACAAACCUAAAAUUCUAAAGUAAAUUUAAAACUUAGCCAAAAGAGGGACAGCUCUUUAGGAAUGGAAAAAACCUUAAAUAGUGAAUAAACUAAUCAAAUUAAACAAACCAUUGUAGGCCUAAAAGCAGCCAUCAAUAAAGAAAGCGUUCAAGCUCAACAUUGUACCUUUAAUAAUUACAUAAGUAAAAAUAAAUUCCUAUACUAAAACUGGGUUAAUCUAUUAUCUUAUAGAUGAGAUACUGUUAAUAUGAGUAACAAGAAUUUUAUUCUCCUUGCACAAGUGUAUGACAACUCGGAUAUCCAUUGUCAAUUAUCAAAUUAUAGGUAAAAUUCAACAAAUAAACCUACCUAAAAAUUCAUUGUUAGCCCAACACAGGAGUGCUAUAAGGAAAGAUUAAAAAAGAUAAAAGGAACUCGGCAAACCAGAACCCCGCCUGUUUACCAAAAACAUCACCUCUAGAAUAUUAAAUAUUAGAGGCAUUGCCUGCCCAGUGACUAAAGUUUAACGGCCGCGGUAUCCUG